UACGUAGGGUGCAAGCGUUGUCCGGAAUUAUUGGGCGUAAAGCGCGCGUAGGCGGCUACUUAAGUCGGAUGUGAAAGCCCCUGGCUCAACUGGGGAAGUGCACCCGAAACUGAGUGGCUUGAGUGCGAAAGAGGGUCGCGGAAUUCCCGGUGUAGAGGUGAAAUUCGUAGAUAUCGGGAGGAACACCGGUGGCGAAGGCGGCGACCUGGGUCGACACUGACGCUGAGGCGCGAAAGCGUGGGGAGCAAACAGG
rnacentral:rRNA from 1 species